rnacentral:rRNA from 1 species
CCCUUAGAUGUUCUGGGCCGCACGCGCGCUACACUGACGAAUGCAACGAGCUUAUAACCUUGGCCGAAAGGUCUGGGUAAUCUCCAAAUUUCGUCGUGAUGGGGAUAGAUUAUUGCAAUUAUUAAUCUUCAACGAGGAAUGCCUAGUAAGCGCAAGUCAUCAGCUUGCAUUGAUUACGUCCCUGCCCUUUGUACACACCGCCCGUCGACUCUACCGAUUGAAUGGUUCGGUGAAAACUUUGGACUGUGGCAUUGUCCUUCAUUGGACUUCGCCGUAGGAAAUUGUUUAAACCUCAUCAUUUAGAGGAAGAAUAAGUCGUAACA